rnacentral:lncRNA from 1 species
GAACAGCUCUGGCCUGGGAAAGUCUGGGUGGCUGCAGCAGAAGGCAUCUCUCAGUUCAGAGGUCCAGGUCAUCGGCCUGGCAAGGAUUCCUGUUUCCUGAACCUUCUCUUCCCACUCUGAGCAGAUUAGCUGAUCAAAUUGACUGAUCGCAUUGGACUGAGAGGUCAAGCACCCUCCAAUAGGAUAAGACAUAGUCAAAAUGCCAGGGAUAAAAGGCAAGAGCCUUUCUGGCCUCAGUGUGUUGCUACCACAGUUUGUGCUCAGGCAAACCACCUUUGAAAAAAGAAUUUCCUUGCCAGGG